GACGAACGCUGGCGGCGUGCUUAACACAUGCAAGUCGAGCGGUAAGGCCCUUUCGGGGGUACACGAGCGGCGAACGGGUGAGUAACACGUGGGUGACCUGCCCUCCAGCUCUGGGAGUAAGCCUGGGAAACCGGGUCUAAUACUGGAUAUGACUCCAUGACGCAUGUUGGUGGGGUGGAAAGCCUUGUGCGGCUGAGGAUGGGCCC
rnacentral:rRNA from 1 species